rnacentral:rRNA from 1 species
AGCCUUUAGCUUAAACAAGUAUUAAAGGUCUUGCCUGCCCAGUGAUUCUUUUCAACGGCCGCGGUAUUCUAACCGUGCAAAGGUAGCGUAAUCACUUGUCUUUUAAAUAAAGACCUGUAUGAACGGCUAAAUGAGGAUAAACCUGUCUCAUAUAACUAAUCAGUGAAACUGAUCUUCCAGUACAAAAGCUGGAAUAGUCACAUAAGACGAGAAGACCCUGUGGAGCUUAAAACAACCACUAAACAAACACUAGACUGUUUUAGUGCACGUUUUCAGUUGGGGCGACUUCGGAAUAAAAAACAACUUCCGAGCACAGAGCCACAACCUCUAACCAAGGCUAACAAGCCAAAGCACCAAAAUCGACCCGGCCUUGCCGAUCAACGAACCAAGUUACCCCAGGGAUAACAGCGCAAUCUUCUUCGAGAGCCCCUAUCAACAAGAAGGUUUACGACCUCGAUGUUGGAUCAGGACACCCAAAUGGUGCAGCCGCUAUUAAAGGUUCGUUUGUUCAACGAUUAACAGUCCU